rnacentral:rRNA from 1 species
UCGAGCGGACAGAUGGGAGCUUGCUCCCUGAUGUUAGCGGCGGACGGGUGAGUAACACGUGGGUAACCUGCCUGUAAGACUGGGAUAACUCCGGGAAACCGGGGCUAAUACCGGAUGGUUGUUUGAACCGCAUGGUUCAAACAUAAAAGGUGGCUUCGGCUACCACUUACAGAUGGACCCGCGGCGCAUUAGCUAGUUGGUGAGGUAACGGCUCACCAAGGCAACGAUGCGUAGCCGACCUGAGAGGGUGAUCGGCCACACUGGGACUGAAACACGGCCCAAACUCCUACGGGAGGCAGCAGUAGGGAAUCUUCCGCAAUGGACGAAAGUCUGACGGAGCAACGCCGCGUGAGUGAUGAAGGUUUUCGGAUCGUAAAGCUCUGUUGUUAGGGAAGAACAAGUACCGUUCGAAUAGGGCGGUACCUUGACGGUACCUAACCAGAAAGCCACGGCUAACUACGUGCCAGCAGCCGCGGUAAUACGUAGGUGGCAAGCGUUGUCCGGGAUUUUUGGGCGUAAAGGGCUCGCAGGCGGUUUCUUAAGUCUGAUGUGAAAGCCCCCGGCUCAACCGGGGAGGGUCAUUGGAAACUGGGGAACUUGAGUGCAGAAGAGGAGAGUGGAAUUCCACGUGUAGCGGUGAAAUGCGUAGAGAUGUGGAGGAACACCAGUGGCGAAGGCGACUCUCUGGUCUGUAACUGACGCUGAGGAGCGAAAGCGUGGGGAGCGAACAGGAUUAGAUACCCUGGUAGUCCACGCCGUAAACGAUGAGUGCUAAGUGUUAGGGGGUUUCCGCCCCUUAGUGCUGCAGCUAACGCAUUAAGCACUCCGCCUGGGGAGUACGGUCGCAAGACUGAAACUCAAAGGAAUUUGACGGGGGCCCGCACAAGCGGUGGAGCAUGUGGUUUAAUUCGAAGCAACGCGAAGAACCUUACCAGGUCUUGACAUCCUCUGACAAUCCUAGAGAUAGGACGUCCCCUUCGGGGGCAGAGUGACAGGUGGUGCAUGGUUGUCGUCAGCUCGUGUCGUGAGAUGUUGGGUUAAGUCCCGCAACGAGCGCAACCCUUGAUCUUAGUUGCCAGCAUUCAGUUGGGCACUCUAAGGUGACUGCCGGUGACAAACCGGAGGAAGGUGGGGAUGACGUCAAAUCAUCAUGCCCCUUAUGACCUGGGCUACACACGUGCUACAAUGGACAGAACAAAGGGCAGCGAAACCGCGAGGUUAAGCCAAUCCCACAAAUCUGUUCUCAGUUCGGAUCGCAGUCUGCAACUCGACUGCGUGAAGCUGGAAUCGCUAGUAAUCGCGGAUCAGCAUGCCGCGGUGAAUACGUUCCCGGGCCUUGUACACACCGCCCGUCACACCACGAGAGUUUGUAACACCCGAAGUCGGUGAGGUAACCUUUA